CCAUAAGUGCUUCAGUGAUAGGAUUCUCACCUUCCACAUGAGAGGCCUGGGUUCAAUUCCCGGCCAAUGCA
rnacentral:tRNA from 1 species